rnacentral:lncRNA from 1 species
ACCCUAACUUGUUGCGGCCAGGUCGGGCGACGGGAUGACCAAUCCCGACCGCGUCCUCAGGGCUCUUCGAACAGUAAUUGGGCACUGACUCGGGGAUGAAGGCGUGGCUCUUGAUUGGCUUUGACUCCUGCCUAUGAGACUGUGAGGAUCUCGUUUCCCUAGUAACAGAUCGGCACUAAGAGAGACCAAUAACCGAAAAGUACAAUAGAAAGGCGAGUGAGCAGUUCUUUGACUGAUACUCAAAGUAGCCAAUAAAUGUGUGGGGCUGCUCUUAUUCGUUAACACGUCUUCCCCUGGGCGGAGAUCCGUUUUCCAUGCAGGAGCGGUUGCGCCACAAGGUGGGGCCCGUGUACUUUGGGGAAGUAAACCCCUAGCAACUAGGAGGCGGGCGUCCGAGAGGCCAAGACAGCCUGUGGCCAAUCGCAACGCCGGAAGGAGCUGAUAGACACGGAGGUUGCUCUGCUCGGAAGAGACCGAGCCCCAGGGCCGCCGUGCCCUCUGGGCGGUUGUGAGGCUGUGCAGCCUGCGGCUUCUGCCCUCUUUCUUUCCCUGACUGGUUGGGUCCGGCCUCCGAGGCCUGUACCCCGCCUUUUCCGCAUAGGCAUGUGACCAGGGUCUCCCGCGGAGUUUUGCUGAGAAUUUUGGAAAUGAAGCAUGUGGAGCGCCUAUGUCGGGGGAGAGAGGCCGAGCUGAAGGAGCACGGGCGCCGGCCUCGGCCUCUGGGGAGCCGGGCCCGCUCGCCUCCCUGCGCGGGGCUAGCCCGAGCCUGGAACUCGGGAGGCCCAGGAGCGAAGUGAAAGCCCCUUCUGGUCCCCCAGGGCUCCACUCCCGCAGCAGCCCGGCUCCGUCGGCGUCAGUGGAGCCCCAGGCCUGGGUCCGAGAUGAGCGAGACGCUGCUCUGGCUCGCGGUCGCCCGAGCGCUCCCAAAACCAGGGAACAGGCCCCAGGAGAGAAGCCCCUAGAAGUUUCCUGGAGCAGGGAGUCUCCUGUAUCCUGUUAGCUCUGCAAAGGAAUCUGGACUUUAUUCUGAGGGCCUUGGAGAACCCCUGCAAAGUUUUUUAAAAGUUGCCACCAAGGUGCUUGGUCCUUCCGAGGAAGCUAAGGCCACAUUGGGGUGAGGCCAUCACUUCAUCCAGUGACUAGCACCACCUCUGGCAAUGUCAGCCCCACACUCGCCCGCGCCAUGGCCUCCAUCUCCGAGCUUGCCUGUGUCUACUUGGCCCUCAUUCUGCACGAUGACGAGGUGAUCAUCAUGGAGGUUAAUAUCAAUACCCUCAUUAAAGCAGCCAGUGUAAAUGUUGAACCUUUUGGCCUGGCUUGUUUGGAAAGGCCCUGGCCAACGUCAACAUUGGAAGCCUCAUCUGCAAUGUAGGGGCUGGUGGACCUGCUCUAGCAGCUGGUGCUGCACCAGCAGGAGGUCCUGCCCCCUCCAUUGCUGCUGCUUCAGCUGAGGAGAAGAAAAUGGAAGCAAAGAAAGAAGAAUCUGAGGAGUCUGAUGAUGACAUGGGCUUUGGUCUUUUUACUAAACCUGUUUUAUAAUGUGUUCAAUAAAAAGCUGA